GGGCUCACUUCAGCAACACACACACUAAAAUUGGAACUAUACAGAGAAGAUUAGCAUGGUCCCUGUGCAAGGAUGUCAUGAAAAUUUUUGAAGCAUUACUUAUUUUU
ensembl:snRNA U6 U6 spliceosomal RNA